rnacentral:misc_RNA from 1 species
AUUAGCAAAUCUCCAUGGCAGCAAGCAAAUCUCCACUAAUUCUCAAUCAAGUAAAUGUGCACAGCAGCUACAUUUGAGUCCUUAGGCAUGUAAGAAAUGUGCAUUGGAGGCUUAAAACCAUACAAUGCCUCAAAAUGGGGACAUCUGAAUUGUUGAAUGGCAUGAGGUAUUAUAUCAGAAUUCAGCUAAGGACAACAAUUGCAGCCAAGUGAUGAAUAUCACCAACGUGCACCUGAAAUAAUUUUCCAAGCACCUAUUCACAACCUCAGUCUAGCCAUCAGUCUGAGGGUGAUAGGCUGUGGACAUAUGCAAAGGGACCCCUUGUAGCUUACAAAAUUCCUGCCAAAAAGUACCGGUAAAUACAACAUCUCUGUUAUUGACUACUGUCUAAGGCAACCCA